UCAGCAAAAAAAAAAAAAGAAAAAAAGAAAAAAUCAUGGAAAUCAGUUCAAUCAAAAUAUGCAUGGAACAACUACGAUAUGCAGGGUACCAUAUUUGUUGUGGAAUGCCAAAAAAGUAUGACCCUCCUGUUCUGGUCUGAAUGUUUCUGUCCCCCUUCAUUCAUGUGUUGAAAUCAUAACUCCCACAGUGAUGGCAUUUGGAGGUGAGGGUUUUAGGGGAUGAUUAGGUCAUGAGUGGGAUUAGUGCUUUUGUAAAAGAGGCUCCGGAGAGAUCCCUUGCCACCUUCCACUUUCUGAGGUCACAGUGAGAAGUCUGCAGUCUGCAACCCAGAAGAAGUCUUUCACCAGAACCCCACCAUGCUAGCCCCCUGGUGUCUGACUUCCAGCCUCCAGAACUACGAGAAAUAAACUUCUGUUGUUUAUAAGCCACCCAGCCUGUGGUAGUUUUUAUAGCAGCCCAAACGGCCUAAGGCACCUCUCUAUCUUUUUGAUACCUCAAGCAGGGCUCUGCACACAGCAGGUGCUUAAUAAACGUUACUUGAAGCUCCCUACCCUCACCAAGUUUACAUCUCUUUGGGGAAAAUAAAAGACACGUCUGCAGAUUCAACAGUGGUGUGGCAGUCCUGUAGCCAUGCGACGCACGGACCUUGAACAAGCACCAAGAAACAGUGGCUGCCUUUGUUUUUGAGCAGAGGAGUGAUGAGAUUAAAGUCGCAUUUUUAGAAAGACCUACCAGGUGUCAACAAAGGAAUGAACUGGAGAAGACUCAAACUGGAAGCCGGAAGCCGUUAGGAGAUUUUCAGCACAGUCCAGAACCAGAAACAACAACAGUGAAGCUGUGAGAACAAGAGAACAAUCGUAGAGACAUAAUUCUUUCGAAGAAGUUGUCUGUUCUUAAAGAUUCAAAGGAACACUGUCUUAGAGGAGAGUCAUAAGAAGAUGAAGGGGCUGGGGAUUUGAAAGGUGAACUAACUUGUGCCAGGACAUGGAGGACGACAGGGGAGCGAGCUUCGCCUGAUGCCAAGCCGAAGCCUGCACCGUCAGCCGACUUGGGUUGGUAGCAAAAGAGAGUUUGAGUUCUGUCCCUGUUAAGUAUCACACAUCCCCUGCCAGUGACGCAUGAAGUCAUGAGAUGUGAAACACCUGAGGACCUCUGCUGUAACACUUCAGCAUCCUUGGAUGCUCAGUGCGCUGUUUCGAGGCUACAUCUGGAUUGAGUGAAAAGAGUGCUGUCAUCGAUUUUCAGUGUGUACCUUGGACACAGAAGGAAAUGUGGCAGCAGGCAGGCCAAGUAUUUGCUGACCCUCUCCAUCUUUCAGGUAUAGAAAAUGAAUUGGAUAAAUCCCUCAACAUGUGUGGCACUGGAUAUAUCAUUUCAGACACUGCAAAAUGGAACAAGCACUAAACUUUGAAGGGAACUGUCUAUGUGAUUAAAACUUGGAACAGAUUCCAAGAGCUGGAAUACAAUGUUCUUACUGUUUCUCCUCUUGACCUCGAUAUUUGAACCAAAGCUGGCUGAUAACAACCUAAACACCUUCUGGGGUAUCAAUCCAGUUUUGUUCUGGGAUCCAUUAGGGAUAGAAAAACAGCCUGAUGAAGACUGGGCCAAUUCCAUAGGUCUGGCAGGGCUAAUUGCCAUGGAGUCAAAUCAUAUGGCCGCACCUGGUGGUGUGGUGACCAUUCUCAAUUUCCCCCAUUUUAUGCUAGGCGCAAAGACUGCUUUGCUUUCUGUUUAAUCAUUUUAAUAUAAUUUGGCUAUAUCGUCCCUCCCACUACCUCUUUACCAGUAAAUGGAGGCCUUUUGCUUUCCUUCCCCAAAGAAGAUUCAGGUGACCGUGUGAAGUAGUUUGGGCUGCCAAGGAGACUGAAAAUAGUUUGGAUUCAUCAGAGAGUGGCAGCAUUUUGACGGAACAUUGGGAAGGGUGCUGCUAACCUCUGCUCAGGUUGUGGAGACAGGAAAGCUGAUGUAUGAUAUUAGAGAUGAUUAUCCACGGAUUCUGCCAAGACUCCCUGGAUAAUAGUGAUAAUAACUGUUAUCAUGGUGAAGCGGAAGGGGAAUAAUGAUUUGAGGAAGUUGGUAGAACAAGUCACAUCAGUUCUUUGGCCAAAAGCCAUGAAUAGCCUCAUUUUCUACUGAAGAGAAGACAUUGGUGAUUUUUAUAAUUAAGAUACUUUUGUCAAGGAGCUGCAGAAUCUGCUGCUGGACAGGCGCAAAAAGGGGUCAAAUUCAAAAGCAUUACUUUUAAUUGGCCCUGAAAUGUUUGCUCUGGGUGUGAAAAUGAAUUGAGAUAGCAAGUGUAUGCCUGUUUAUUUGCUAAUAUUUGCGUGGCCCUAUAGAAAGAGUUGCAGAUGUUUGAGGUCAUCCAGUCUAGGCGGCUUCAAACCCUAUUCCACAUAAUAGCACAACUGUUUAAAAAAUAAACUCUUAUUCAACUCCAAAACAGAUAAAAAGCAAAGAUGAUCACAUGGGAGAUGGAGUGGAGAGUCAAGAGCAUGACCCACUUGGGUUUGUGCCUCUCUGCACCCACCUGGUUUUCCAUUAGACACCUCUGUUCUAAGGACUCAGUUUGAAAACCACUAAUCUAAUGCAAACUUCACUUUAUAAACAGGAGGUAAGGUGACUUACGCAGAAUCACACAAUUGGUUUCCUGGGGGACCAGCUCUCUGUACAAUGAUGUUUCCACUACAUCAUACUUGGAAUGUCAGGGAUGAUCCUCCCACUUCCUGAGCCUCCUGCUAACCCUUCCUACUUCUCAUGUCAACAGGGUUCCACUCAUUAUCUUUUCUUCCAUGUGAUUCAACAGAAUUCAUCCCCAUCACUGCCAUUCUCUUGACAGUUUAAAGAAAAACCUAUCUGACUCCACAUACCCACGAAAGCACAGUAGGGAACAUCGGAUAUGCCUUCCUCAGCCAGAGCGCACAGUGGCCGCUGCUCCUGAACAUGCCCUAUGAGGGAGUUGACACCCAAGUGGUGAAGAGCCGUGUCCAUGAUGAAUCAGCUAGUUCGAGGCAUGAACUCAAUCUUUAUUGCUCACGAUCCAUCGCUUCUCCCACACUUUGGCAGUUUGUUAGAGAUGAAAAGUUUGGGCUCUGGAGCUGGACUACCUGGAUCUGAAUCUCAGGCUUGCCUGUGGACUGGCUGUGUGUCCUUUGUGGAGUUUGUUAACCUCACUGUGCCCCAAUUUUUGCAUCUGUAGAGGAAGUUAAUAAGAGUAAACAUCUCAGAGUGUUCUGAAGAUUAAAUGAGUGAAUACAUGCGGCUGUUGGAAUAGUGUGGCAUAUAGUAAGCGCUUAAUAAAUGGUACCUAUUAUUACCCUCAUAUGGAUAAAAGGCACCCUCUAAAUUCUAAGUAAACAUCAAACUUCUAAUUGUUGAAAACUGUGAUAAACAAAUGUUUGUUGUUUGAAGCAGCUAUGUUUUUGGAUAAUUUGUUAUGCAUCAUCGAUAACCAAUAUGCACACUAACCAUGAUUAAAAGUCCCCACUGAUAUGGGUCUAGUCUAGACAGAGCAUGUCUGAUGUCUAGUUCUUGUUCUUUCAUGUGCUCAUUCAAUGAGCAUGUGCUAUGUGCUAGGCAGUGUGGAUGCAAAAGUUAGCUUUUAAAAGAAGACACUAUCCUUGCCUUCUUGGAAAAAGCAAGGUUGCAAAAUUUGUGGAAGAUCUAUUUCUCCAACUUCACUUAUUUUAAACUAUGACUUGUAUGAACAUUUAAUUUAAAUAAUUUAUUAAAUAUCUAAUUAAAUGUCUUUGCCAUGUUAAAAAAAACAAACAACCUUUUCUAAUUGUUUCAGUGGAUUCCAGCAGCUGUCUUACUUUCUAUGUUCAGGGAGUUCUAAGACAUUUCUCAAUGACUGAUAGCUUCUUCUGGGCAGACUUUUCUUGUUAUUGAAGACCCGAGGUAGUGGAAGGUCAUUUUCUGCGAGUUCACUCAUUCAGUGUGCAUUCUUGAGUAUUGCUAACAUGGCAAGGCCUGGGCCAGGUGAACAAGGGCUGGGCCAAGAGUAAGGUGAGGGCACCAACGUGAUUAAGACAUGUUCUCAGCUCUCAAAGAGCUUGGGGCUGAGAGGAGGGGUAGGGUGGGGAUGCAAAGAAUCACAGAAGGGUCCUUGCCUUCAAAGAGCUCGCUGUGUUGAGAAAGAGACAUCAGUAAACACAUAGUGACAAAGCAGUGAGGGACGUGCAAAGUGCUAAGGGAGCACAGAAAAGGAAGUGACUAAGACAGCCUGAGGAGACCAAGGAAGGCUGCAGACGGGAAGUGAUGCAUAAACUGGGUCAAAGGAUGAGUAACUGUUUGUCAGAAGAGAGAGGGUGAGUUUUAAGGCAGGGGAAACUGCAUGUGCAAAGGCACGGAGGCACUGCACAACAAAGUUGGCAAUCUUAGGGCAGCAUGAGCAGUUCAGAAAGUGUAUGGCACCCCCCUGUUUCAAUGACAUGUCCUUGCCCAAGUUCCUCAGCUCAGCUGGCAGAACCUAGUAUGAGGCAGCCUCUGCCCACCUUCCCAAGCCUGUUUCUUGCUUUACAACCAUCAGCCACACUGGCUCCCUUUUGUCCCUGGAUCACCAUAAGAUUGAUUCCACUUUAGAGUCACUGCAUUGUCUGCUUCUUCUUUCUGGAACAUUCUUUCCCAUCUGUUCACAUGGCUGACCACUUCUCACUCUUUAGGUCUGACCUCCUCAGCGAGGCCAUCCAGGGUCAUUUUCCCUGAAGCAAGUCUCCAGCUACUACCUACCACAGCACGUGUCACAUGGAAAGCAUUGUGAUCUGUAAUUAUUUGCCCUGUUAACAUAUUUAUUGCCUGCCCACCACUCUGAAGUGUAGCAUGAGACAUGGGGGUGGGGACACUGACAGUCUUGUUCCUGUUGUAGCCCUGGUGCCCAGGUCAGACCCUGACACUGCACAUGAUAGAAAUUUGUUGAACAAAGAAAUGAAAACAGCAAUGAAUGAAUGAAAAAUUUGGAAAGAGAUUGGUCUGGAUAUCCUCCAUUGGUUUCUCCAGGUCCAAACUCCAUCCUUCUCCAUCCAUCCAAUCCUGUGUCAUGGAGGCUGACCGGUAGGAACCACAUCAAUAUCUACCCUCUGGUAGCCAAUAGGGAGCAGCUCAGGGAGAGAGGAGAGUUGGUUGGCGUGGCCUUGAGCUGGCUGCAUCCCGCCCCUGAUGGUGUCUGGAAGGACCCUCUCCACACAGCCUCUCUGCUUUUAAAGAAGGGGAGCUGAUAAGGAGAGAAGAACUCCAACACCAUUUUUACUGAUAGGAAACUUACUCAGUGACCACUGGACUCUAAAAACCUGCAUAAAGGACGAUUCUGGAUGUAUACGGCUUUAUAUUUUCAGUCAUUUUGAUGGUUCCAAGAGAAGAUGGAUAAAAUGAGAUGACUGUGGCUAAUUUGCAUUUAAAAGGACUUUCUUAGAGUGGCAGCUCAGCCCCAGAAGAUCGCAAGCUCAACAUAAAAGGAAAGUUGUGACCAACUCUUUGUAUCCAGGCAGGAGAAAAGAAUAAGACUUGACCUCCUUUUGUUCCAACAAUAGCCUGCAACUGCCUCAUUCCAUUGUCUCAACGGGCAUCAUCUGUCAGUCGUCAACUCUCCUUCCAGGACAGAGCUGCAUUCUCCUUGUGUUAUCACUCUGCUAUGUGGUGUCCUUUCUCAUCUGGUUUCGGAAUUUAAAGGAAAAAAAAAGACCAUGAAAAACAUGCCAGCUUUCUCUGAAUACUGAUUAGUGCGGUUUUUAAAUGAAGAGACAAACUCUGGGAGGUUCAGUAAGUACUUAACAUCACACAGGAGGUAGGUGGGCUAUCUGGAUUGAAACUCACAGAUUCCUGCCUUCAAAACUCAAAUCUAGGGGUUCAUGGGAUAUUAACCAUGCAUGAGCAAUUCCAGCUAUGUCUAUAAAGAGUUACUUUAAAGUCCUUAUCCAUUUAUCCACUGUUUCUUUACAAGUGCCUAUUUUAUGAUGGGCAAUAUGCUCCUGAACAAAAGAGACGUGGUCUCUGCCUUCGUGGUGUAGGAGAAAAAAUAUCAAAUAGGUACACAAAUAAACAUAUAAUUACAAACUGUGCUAUGUGCUGUGAUGGAAAGGCUCAGAAAGAUGGGAGAGUGUAUCACAAGGGGACCUAAUUUAAUCUAACAGAUUAGGGGCGACUUUCUGGAAGCAAUGGUAACUGAGUUAAUACCAGAGCGAUGAGUGUAGUUAGCUAGGAGAAAAGGAGGGGAAAAGGGAGAAGAAAAUUACUGGCAGCAUGAAGGGCAUGUGCAAAGGCCCUGAAGCAAGAGGAAAAACUUUUAGCCUGUGCUCCUUAGACGCUGCAGGCCUGUGGGAUAAAUUUAGCUUACAGAUGUUUGCUUUGGCUCACAGACUCUUCUGGAAAAAUUUGAGCCUCAAAGAGGAAAUGUUGCAUAAAUAUUCUGACUUCAAGCUCCUCUUGAAAAAACAGAAGAUCUGGCAAUCCUUGGCCCUCAGCGCUUCACGGCAGCAAUGACAAGAACUGAGUAUCUGACCAGUCUGGGUGGGGCAAACACUCUCCAGUCCAUCAGUCUUGCUACUCCUCAUUGUCUCCCCAACACCGAAGUCAGGCUUCAGUUCCCACUUACGGUCCUGUUUGCACUGCUGUUUUUCUACAGUGGAGAACUAUUUCUCUGUAUCCCUGUCUUGAUCACAAAUAAAAGACAGACCAAGAGAACCAUGUGUUUUUCCCCAAACUCAGCCUGUACCACUCCAGCGCCAUAUUGCUUGGUGCCUGUGGCAUUUAAAUUCUCCCCACUCCUACUUUGGAGGUAACAGAAUAAAGGCCACAAGAUGUCCCUCUAACAGCCUAAACUAUGUUGACUUUUUUCUAACUGCAAAUGCUUAGUGAGAAUGGGACACACUUUAUGCCUGUGAACUCCACCACCACGGUAGGCACAAAGAGCUGAAUGUGCCAUUGAUUUUUAAUCAAAGAUAUAAACAAUGCUGGUUCUAUUCUGCUAAAUGUAGGACUGCACCUGUUUUUAAUUGCAACUCAAUUUAUUAAGCAUUUGUACUAUAUUAAGCAAAAUAGAUGAUAAGAUAGCCCCCGCCCCAGAGAACAUAUGUUACUCAUUCUUUCCCUUGUCAGAUAAAUUAAUCUUGCCAUCUCCAAAACACUGCUCAUUCCAUAUUAGCAAGACAGCAGAAAUUAAUUUUGAACUUUUCCUAAACAUUUAUAAACAUGUCAGGUAAUGCAGCCAUGUCUGACAUGGUGUGAGAGUCCUGGACUGUGAUGCAAGAAACCACUUUGUGUUACACAGUUAAUGUGUUGCCAACAGACAGAGCGUAAACCACAUCACGUGCUCAGGGCACCAGAGAAACUCACUGGGGGAACUUGUGAUGAAUCAUUUUGUAAAGCAGAGAAUUUGAAUGUCAAAUGCAAAAUCCCUCCUUCAUAGAACCUUUUUGCAAGAACGAAAUAUUCCAUUAGGACUUAAUGAAGUCCAUUUGCAUCAUCUAUGUGAUAUAUACCUAAAAUGUCAGUUUCCUCACCUGUAGCUAAAAUUAGUUCAUUUUUAUUUGUCUGCCUUUUACAUCCCAGUUUGUAGUUUUCACCUUGCUUUCUUUUCUUCUCUCCUUUCCACGUGUUGUCGGUGUGACUAAGGCCAGCUACAGAUCAGAGCUUCAGCUCAGAUUCCACCAGCAGAGGGUACUGUUUGAGCGCUUAAGUGGUCUUCUCAUCUUUGUCUUACCCAUCCAAAGAGAACAAUAUCUGAAUAAUAGCCUGGGAUGAUAUUCAAUAGGCACGGGGCUGGCAAGAUAACAUACAUCAAUGAUCAUGUUUCAGCAUCAUUUUACAGGACAUUCCCUUUGUUCUCUGCUGCUCACAAAGAACACCCCGUGCAAAAAGCACCUGUAGCUGCUGAUGAUAGAUGUGGACAAAGGAAGAUGAAGACGGGUGGUGGUGGUGGAGUAGAAUCUGCUUCUAAAUUUACCAGAUACUUACAUCCAUUAUAGGUCUGGAGUUCUGAAUCAAGAUCUCAGCCCCAUGUGUUCUCGGCUUGCUGGUGGAUGAUCAUGAAUAAUUCCUGCAGGAGCAAGUGCCGGAGUAAAACAACCAGGCUGUCCCUGAACAUUGUAAAUCGAUGAGCACAGAUGUCUCCCAACGGAAGGGAGGUUUGAAGACGCUUCAUGUCUUGUUGGGUUGGGAACACUUGAGAGUUAGUGACAGUCUGACAAACUAAAGUGAGCAUCUCCCCAUUCUGAAAUCAUGUUUAGCAUUAAAUGUAGUUAAAUAUAUUGUGGAAGAACACUUUGUCACUUAAUUUUUAUAUAAAUUUGAUCAAUCGGUGUAUAAGAGUGGAUUAAACAUUUCAUAGUAAAA